rnacentral:tRNA from 1 species
GCAUUGGUAAUCAUGGCGUUUAUUGUGCCUUUUAAGCAGGGUGUCCGGGGUUCGAAUCCCCGACGAGGCA